GAUGAACGCUGGCGGCGUGCCUAAUACAUGCAAGUCGAGCGAACGGACGAGAAGCUUGCUUCUCUGAUGUUAGCGGCGGACGGGUGAGUAACACGUGGAUAACCUACCUAUAAGACUGGGAUAACUUCGGGAAACCGGAGCUAAUACCGGAUAAUAUUUUGAACCGCAUGGUUCAAAAGUGAAAGACGGUCUUGCUGUCACUUAUAGAUGGAUCCGCGCUGCAUUAGCUAGUUGGUAAGGUAACGGCUUACCAAGGCAACGAUGCAUAGCCGACCUGAGAGGGUGAUCGGCCACACUGGAACUGAGACACGGUCCAGACUCCUACGGGAGGCAGCAGUAGGGAAUCUUCCGCAAUGGGCGAAAGCCUGACGGAGCAACGCCGCGUGAGUGAUGAAGGUCUUCGGAUCGUAAAACUCUGUUAUUAGGGAAGAACAUAUGUGUAAGUAACUGUGCACAUCUUGACGGUACCUAAUCAGAAAGCCACGGCUAACGACGUG
rnacentral:rRNA from 1 species